AAUUGUCCACCAAAAUCGAUUUUCAAUCUAAAUCCUCCUUGCACAAGCUCUCAACAAACUCUACUCACACAACAAUCCUCGCGUAAAGCUCCUUGCACAAACUCUUUCAUUCUCACACAAAACAAUCUUCACUGUCUUCUCUCUCAAGAACCCUCUCGACAUCGCUCGACCUGAAUGAAAAAGGGGAACAACAUGAUUAGGGUUUCUGUGUCGAGUACAGUUUUCUCGUGAUUUUCCCCCUUUUCUCGCAACUCUACAUCGAUUAGGGUUUUGGCAUCUGGCGAGACUUGCAAAAGUUUUACCUCUUCGUGACUUGGUGAGCUUGUGGAGAGGCAACUAGAGCAAUUCCAAACCGAUUGUGAUGGUGAUGAACAAAAGGAAAAGCCUUCUGCUUCAGGAACUGACUUAGUUUUGUACAGGAGUUUGAAGGUGGAAUCUUGG